rnacentral:lncRNA from 1 species
UCUGCUUGGUCAGUAAAUGCCCUGGGACUGCUUCCUCAGAAGGCAAACCUAGAGGAGACCAAGCCUGAAGCUGGGUGGGGACAGUGUGACUGCCAACCCCCGUGUUCCAUGGGAACAGGGUGUUGCAUCCCCGGAGGGUGGGCAUGGGGAAGAGGGGUGCGGGAGUGCAGCAGGGCUCACUUACCCGGGUAGCCCACGGAGGGGUGCAGCAAGUCCAUACCCGAAGUGUGGCCAACAGGGUGAAACUCUGUCUCUACUAAAAAUACA